UACGUAGGGCGCAAGCGUUGUCCGGAAUUAUUGGGCGUAAAGAGCUCGUAGGCGGCUUGUCACGUCGGGUGUGAAAGACCGGGACUUAACCCCGGUUCUGCAUUCGAUACGGGCUGGCUAGAGUGUGGUAGGGGAGAUCGGAAUUCCUGGUGUAGCGGUGAAAUGCGCAGAUAUCAGGAGGAACACCGGUGGCGAAGGCGGAUCUCUGGGCCAUUACUGACGCUGAGGAGCGAAAGCGUGGGGAGCGAACAGG
rnacentral:rRNA from 1 species